rfam:Myotis brandtii contig194337, whole genome shotgun sequence.
GAGACACCCCCUAUAGAGCAGGACUUGCUUCAGUGGGGCUUUGAUGCUCACUGAGUCUGCCCCUUGGGUGUGUCACU